AAUGGGCGAAAGCCUGACGCAGCAACGCCGCGUGGGGGAUGAAGGCCUUCGGGUUGUAAACCCUUUCAGGAGGGAAGAAAUUGACGGUACCUCCAAAAGAAGGACCGGCCAACUACGUGCCAGCAGCCGCGGUAAUACGUAGGGUCCGAGCGUUAUCCGGAAUCAUUGGGCGUAAAGAGCUCGUAGGCGGUUCAGCAAGUCGGCUGUGAAAGUCCGAGGCUCAACCUCGGAAUUGCAGUCGAUACUGCUGUGACUCGAGUCCGGUAGAGGAGAAUGGAAUUCUCGGUGUAGCGGUGAAAUGCGCAGAUAUCGAGAGGAACACCAGUAGCGAAGGCGGUUCUCUGGGCCGGCACUGACGCUGAGGAGCGAAAGCGUGGGGAGCAAACAGGAUUAGAUACCCUGGUAGUCCACGCCGUAAACGUUGGAUACUAGGUGUGGCGGUUAUACCAAUGACUGCCGUGCCGAAGCUAACGCAUUAAGUAUCCCGCCUGGGGAGUACGGCCGCAAGGCUA
rnacentral:rRNA from 1 species